UACGUAGGCAGCGAGCGUUGUUCGGAAUUACUGGGCGUAAAGAGUGUGUAGGCGGUGCUCCCAGUCUGUUGUGAAAUCUCCCGGCUUAACUGGGAGGGUGCAGCGGAAACUAGAGUGCUAGAGGGUGGGAGAGGUAAGCGGAAUUCCUGGUGUAGCGGUGAAAUGCGUAGAUAUCAGGAGGAACACCUGUGGUGUAGACGGCUUUCUGGACCAUUGUUGACGCUGAGACACGAAAGCGUGGGUAGCAAACAGG
rnacentral:rRNA from 1 species